AGCUCAGAACAAGACUUUAUUCAGGGAAGCAUGAGAAUACUUACAGCUCUUAUUAGGAAGUAUAAUCCUUCUGUGCAAUAUUACUCUCCCUUGGGAAACAGUGAGAUUUUAUCAAGAAAUGGAACUAUUAAUCUUUUGGAUCAAGCAAAAGAACUUGUGGAGAGCAUGAGAGAG